rnacentral:lncRNA from 1 species
CAGUUUACGAGGAUGUUGUGGUCUUGGCAGUUUGGCACAGUUGGAAGGUUUGAGACAAGUUCCUGUUAUUUUGCAAGGUUUCAGAUCAUCAUUGUCUGACAAAGGAACCCGCUUCUCAGCACAAGUGAAUCAAUAAGCUGAAGCCCAUGGAAUCUGUUACCAUGUACCUCAUCUCUCAGAAGUCACUGCCUCUAGAACGGUAGAAAGUGCUCUGAAACUUCAUUAUGGUACCUCCUGGGAUUCACUGCUUUGAGAAGGUGGAGUACUGUCAUAGAGGGUGUGAGAAGUUUGAUAAUACUGGUACGUUGAUGUCGCCUUGUGACAGAAGCCUGAACUGCAGUUUAAACAUCGCUGAGCAGAAAGGUGGAGGGGUUGUAACCCAAGCCCACCCUACAGAGCUUUCUGGAAGUCUUCGUGAAAAGGAGGUCAUUCCAAGUAUAUAAGGAUACUGAGCAUCUUCCAACAGAAACUGCAACCUAUUAGGGUGCUGAAGAGAAAGCUUUAUGUGAGAGAAAAAGAGUAUUUUAAUUUAUAUUCUUUGAGACCUGUGGAUAAAUAUCUAUAGACGUGUAUACGCACAAAUGGAUCCAAGCCACUUAGGACUUUGUAACCUGAUUUUGCCUUUAUUAUGACAAUUAUUGUAUGUAAAUACAUUUCUAUCAUCACAUUUUAAAUUAUUUUACAACUUUUUAAAAUAUCAACCAGGUGUUUCAUUAUACAGAGGCCCCCAAACUUAUUUCAUUAGUAUCCCAGAG